rnacentral:rRNA from 1 species
GAUGAGCAUGCGUCCCAUUAGCUUGUUGGUAAGGUAACGGCUUACCAAGGCAACGAUGGGUAGGGGUCCCGAGAGGGAGAUCCCCCACACUGGUACUGAGACACGGACCAGACUCCUACGGGAGGCAGCAGUGAGGAAUAUUGGUCAAUGGGCGCAAGCCUGAACCAGCCAUGCCGCGUGCUGGAUGAAGCAUCUAUGGUGUGUAAACUGCUUUUGUACGAGAAGAAACACUCCUUCGUGAAGGAGCUUGACGGUAUCGUAAGAAUAAGGACCGGCUAACUCCGUGCCAGCAGCCGCGGUAAUACGGAGGGUCCAAGCGUUAUCCGGAAUCAUUGGGUUUAAAGGGUCCGUAGGCGGUUUUGUAAGUCAGUGGUGAAAGCCCAUCGCUCAACGGUGGAACGGCCAUUGAUACUGCAAGACUUGAAUUAUUGGGAAGCAACUAGAAUAUGUAGUGUAG